rnacentral:rRNA from 1 species
CGUAGGUUCGUGCCGGGAGCCGCGGUGAUGCGGGGGCUGACAGGUGUAGUCGGAAGCACUGGGCGUGAAGGGUGGGGAGGCGGACCGGUAAGUCCGGCUUUGAAGACCGAGGCUCAACCUGGGGGAUGGGCGUGGUACUGCGGGUCUGGACCUCUGGAGAGAGAACUGGAAUUCCUGGUGUAGCGGUGGAAUGCGUAGAUACCAGGAGGAACACCAACGGCGAAGGCAGGUUCUUGGACAGAAGGUGACGCUGAGGCGCGAAAGUGUGGGGAGCGAACCGGAUUAGAUACCCGGGUAGUC